rnacentral:rRNA from 1 species
UGGGGAAUAUUGCACAAUGGGCGAAAGCCUGAUGCAGCGACGCCGCGUGAGGGAUGACGGCCUUCGGGUUGUAAACCUCUUUCAGCAGGGACGAAGCGCAAGUGACGGUAACUGCAGAAGAAGCACCGGCUAACUACGUGCCAGCAGCCGCGGUAAUACGUAGGGUGCAAGCGUUGUCCGGAAUUACUGGGCGUAAAGAGUUCGUAGGCGGUUGGUCGCGUCGUUUGUGAAAACCAGCAGCUCAACUGCUGGCUUGCAGGCGAUACGGGCCGACUUGAGUACUGCAGGGAGGACUGGAAUUCCUGGUGUGGCUGUGAAAUGCGCAGAUAUCAGGAGGAACACCGGUGGCGAGGGCGGGUCUCUGGGCAGUAACUGACGCUGGGGAACGAAAGCGUGGGUAGCGAGCAGG